CGGGCUGUAGUAUACCGGUAGUACAAGCGCUUUGGGAGCGUUUAGACCGCGUUCGAUUCGCGGCAGCCCGA
rnacentral:tRNA from 1 species